CCUACGGGAGGCAGCAGUGAGGAAUAUUGGUCAAUGGCCGUAAGGCUGAACCAGCCAAGUCGCGUGAAGGAAGAAGGAUCUAUGGUUUGUAAACUUCUUUUAUAGGGGAAUAAAGGUAUCCACGUGUGGAUAUUUGCAUGUACCCUAUGAAUAAGCAUAGGCUAACUCCGUGCCAGCAGCCGCGGUAAUACGGAGGAUGCGAGCGUUAUCCGGAUUUAUUGGGUGUAAAGGGUGCGUAGGUUUUUUUUUAAGUCAGCGUUGAAAGUUUGUGGCUCAACCAUAAAAUUGCCGUUGAAACUGGCAGACUUGUGUGUGUUUGCGUUAGGCGGUAUGCUUGUUGUCGCG
rnacentral:rRNA from 1 species